CCCUUAGAUGUUCUGGGCUGCACGCGCGCGACAAUGACGUUUGCAACGAGAUUGCGAGGCCGUCAGGUCGAGCUGAUCUUGCAAGCUGCGUCGUGAUAGGGACAGUCGAUUGCAAUUAUUCGACUCGAACGAGGAAUUCCUUGUAAUCGCGCAUCAUCAGUGCGCGCUGAAUACGUCCCUGCCCUUUGUACACACCGCCCGUCGCUCCUACCGAUGAAUCGUCCGGUGAAGUUCACAGAGUGGCGGUUCGUGGAGUUGCUCGCGAAGUGAAAUGGACCUCACGAUUUAGAGGAAGGAGAAGUCGUAACA
rnacentral:rRNA from 1 species